rnacentral:rRNA from 1 species
GCGAUCGGGUGUAGCAAUACAUCAGCGGCAGACGGGUGAGUAACGCGUGGGAACGUACCUUUUGGUUCGGAACAACCCAGGGAAACUUGGGCUAAUACCGGAUAAGCCCUUACGGGGAAAGAUUUAUCGCCGAAAGAUCGGCCCGCGUCUGAUUAGCUAGUUGGUGAGGUAACGGCUCACCAAGGCGACGAUCAGUAGCUGGUCUGAGAGGAUGAUCAGCCACAUUGGGACUGAGACACGGCCCAAACUCCUACGGGAGGCAGCAGUGGGGAAUAUUGGACAAUGGGCGCAAGCCUGAUCCAGCCAUGCCGCGUGAGUGAUGAAGGCCCUAGGGUUGUAAAGCUCUUUUGUGCGGGAAGAUAAUGACGGUACCGCAAGAAUAAGCCCCGGCUAACUUCGUGCCAGCAGCCGCGGUAA